UGCGGAGUUGAUAUCUAAAAAAGCAGCAACCACCGAGUCAUUUCUAGAAAAAGCUAGCCGUAUGUCUGUGGUCAAAAUACCCAAACUGUCAGAAGUGCUUUUUCCUUUUCUAAACCCAAACUGACUAGCAGAAAGAAGUUUAUUGUGUUCAAUGAACCAUUCUAGACGGUUUUUUACUAAGUGUUCUGUUAUUUUGAGUAAGACUGAAGAUAAAGCUAUUGGACGAUAGGAAGCUGGGUCAAGUUUUGACUUAUUUGGCUUUAAUAACAGGAUCAAAGUUUGAGUCCUCCAAGUGUUUGGUAUAUCACCAGUGAAAAUGACAUAAUUUAUGAUUGUGAGGAAAUAAUUAAGGCAAUUAGUGUCAAGGUGGGUGAGAAAGGAGUAUGGUAUACCGUCUUCGCCUGGAGCCGAAUCUUUAACAUAAGAGAGAACACCCUUCAAUUCUGGCAAAUUUUCAGGGGCUGAUGGAGGAGCCAGACGAUCCAUGACCUGUUCAGCAAGAAUAGGAGAUAUCAUACUUUGCUGGGAGUCAUUAAAAACAGACCUGAACCGUCUAAUAUUCUGCCAGACUAAAGAUGGCUUUACAUUUGGGCAUAAAGAUAGACAGAACUUUUUCCAUCCAUCAUAUUUCUUUUUUUUAAGUAGAUUCUGUGUAGAAAUAGCAGCUUGAGAAUAAAUAAUAAAGUUAUAAUCAGACAUGCAUAAA